GCACAUGAUUGGUAAGUGUCACAAUUCAAAUUUUGCCCUGAGAUGUUUUUUAAUGCUUGCUUUAAUUGACCACAGCAGAGUUCAAUAUUGUGUGUGUCAGUAUCCUUACACAUAUGAAAAUAUUCAUUCUGUAUGACACAGAUAAAGGUAAGAAAAAAGUAAUCUUCUCUCUAACACUUUAAAUGUUAGGGGUGGACCUCAUCUUAAUCCAGGAAUGGCAACAGCUGGUGUCUGAUUGCGACUGCUCACUUUACCGAGUGGGUGGAGGCAAUACCCAUUAAGGUCAGUAAAUGAGUAUGCGCUUAACUAUAAAUACCCUUCUGUAACCCAUUAAAAAGGGUGCUUAUUAAUGGGUUAACCAAAGGACGAGACUAACAAGGUCCAUCAUCGCCUUGGAGGUGACAUCUUCAACCCACGGUUCACACAUGAUUAACUUAGUGUUUGUCUAUUGUUGUUUUUGUAUAACAUACUUUCAGAUCACUGAAACCCCACUUGAUGUGGUGGAAGUUGUUGAACCAGAUCAGAAAGCUUGAGGACCACCUUCAGGCACGGACUGAGAAGGAUGUGGAGGUUUUUGACCAGUCAAGGUGAGACUGAACAUCGACAAGGAGCAGGAGAAACGGAGCAGAAUCAAGAAGGGGACCAUAUGCUACGACAUCCGGGUGAAUUACUUGGUUUAGAAGAAGGACGAAAGGAAGGGUUACCUCUGCGGAAGCCAACAAUAUUCUCCAGUUGGACGGUCGACCACUGAAAGCACUGACCCCCUACAUUUCAGUGAAGCCCAAUAGACAAAGUAUGUCAAGCUUUGGUUGACAUUUGAGAAAGCAAGAAAUGGCAGUUAUGCUGAACUUAUAAAAAUGUACCUCUUCAGUUUACCUCUCCAAAUGACUUUAGGACCAUCGACUGUCCAAGUGCCCCAGGAGGUAUCCCAUCCACCAGAACCUGUGAGUUCGGCUCAGUCUGAUUCUCUGUGCUCUGAGUUGGAGGGGUACCAGCUUGAUGUAGACUAUACCUUCCAAAAGUGUUGAAAAAUACCUAUCUCCCAUUUAUAACACUGCACUAAGCCAUCAAAUUUUAUAAGUAUAACCGGGGUGUUUGCUUGUUUACAUCUGUCUCCUACCCUGUUCCCUUUAACUCUGCUCUUGUUCUCCGGGACCUAGGAGUUAUGCCCAACACCCAGAUGUCUAUCCACCUGAUGUCCUCCAUUACCAAGCACCCUCUAACUUAUCAUUACAUCGUCUACAGCUACAUAUUAUCGUCAUGUCAUUAUUUAUCUUACUGUGCACAUGAGAUACGCAGGUUAACUAACAACACUAGCACUGCAAACACUCAGAACAAAGAAAGCAGCAGUGUCUGGACUUUGCAGUCUCCCUCUUCAAGUCCCCCUUAAGAGACUGGCUGCCUGUUGACAACAAGUGACAGGCAGAACAUCCGACACAGCAAAAUCCGACACAGCAACCACCUCGUCAAAAUUCCACACACCAGAAUUCAGUAUUUUAUGAAUUGUCAUGUGAGUGUAAAACAAAAUCUGUGAAAAUAAUUGAAUGACACAACUUUACCAAA